UAAAGUUUUGAUCCUAAACUUGCUGAUGUUUUUNAUCAAAAUUACACAUGUAAGUAUCCGCACACCAGUGAGAAUGCCCACCCAAGANACAACCAGAGCAGGUAUCAGGCACGAACGCUCAGCCCAAAACACCUUGCCACGCCACUCCCACACGGACAUUCAACAGUGAUUAAUAUUAAGCAAUGAGCGCACCCCCUCUAACCCAGCUCGACUUAGUUAUGAUUAUCAGGGCCGGUAAACCUCGUGCCAGCCACCGCGGUUAUACGAAGGGCCCAAAACAACAGCCAAUCGGCGUAAAUUGUGACUAGAAUACAACACCACGCAAGGACACCUAAACCACGGACACAGUCGUAAAACACUAUAAACCAAAUGGAACCACCUAUGUCCCCCCCCCGGCAAUUUGAAGCCACGAAACCUAAGAAACAAACUAGGAUUAGAUACCCUACUAUGCUUAAACGUAAAUAUGACCAUCAAAACAACCCAGGUCCGCCAGAGAAUUACAAGCAACAAGCUUAAAACUCAAAAGACUUGGCGGUGCCCCAUACCAACUUAGAGGAGCCUGUCCUAUAAUCGAUACUCCACGAUAAACCCAACCACUUUUUGCAAUCACAGCCUAUAUACCGCCGUCGCAAACUCACCUCACAAGAGACACACAGUGAGUAAAACAGUUAACAACUAACACGUCAGGUCAAGGUGUAGCUUACAAAGCGGCAGAGAUGGGCUACAUUCUUUUAAACAAGCACACCAAAAGUCCAAUGAAAAAAGCCCCAAAGGCGGAUUUAACAGUAAAAUUAGCAAGAAAACUAUUUUUAAGAUCGCUCUGGGGCGCGCACACACCGCCCGUCACCCUCCUCAACAACAUCAAUACACUACAUAAUCCAACACCCCACCACAAGAUGAGGCAAGUCGUAACAUGGUAAGCGCACUGGAAAGUGCGCUUAGACUA
rnacentral:ncRNA from 1 species